UACAAGAUCCUCUGGAGAAACCACACCGAAGAUGAAGCAACAUGGGAAACGGACGAAUAUCUGAACAAGCGUUUCCCAGGUUUUCUAUCCCAUCAAGGAGGUAAGAACAGCACACCCUUGAUCUUUGAAUCUCGGGACGAGAUUCUUUUUAAGAGGGGUAGGCUGUAGCGACCGACCCCUAACCUUUCCCAGUUAGGUUUGAUCUCAGCCCUUAACCUUAGUCAACUGUUUUGUUUUACCGCACCUAAGUGCUCAGUCUUCCGCCAGUUCCGACCCCUGAGACCCGAC
rnacentral:lncRNA from 1 species